GAUUCAAUGGUCUAGUGGUUAUGAUUUGUGUCUCACACACACAAGGUCCUGAGUUCAAGCCUCAGUUGAAUCA